rnacentral:rRNA from 1 species
UAGUCCACGCCGUAAACGAUGGAUACUAGGUGUCCGGGAUAUUAACCUCCUGGGUACUACAGUUAACGCGAUAAGUGUCCCACCUGGGGAGUACGAUCGCAAGAUUGAAACUCAAAGGAAUUGACGGGGGCCCGCACAAGCGGUGGAGCAUGUGGUUUAAUUCGAUGAUACGCGAGGAACCUUACCAGGGCUUAAAUGUAGUCUGACAGCUUUAGAGAUAGAGUUUUCUUCGGACAGAUUACAAGGUGCUGCAUGGUUGUCGUCAGCUCGUGCCGUGAGGUGUCAGGUUAAGUCCUAUAACGAGCGCAACCCCUGUCGUUAGUUGCCAGCAAGUAAAGUUGGGGACUCUAACGAGACUGCCUACGCAAGUAGAGAGGAAGGUGGGGAUGACGUCAAAUCAUCACGGCCCUUACGUCCUGGGCCACACACGUGCUACAAUGGUAUGGACAAUGAGCAGCCAUCUGGCAACAGAGAGCGAAUCUACAAACCAUAUCACAGUUCGGAUC